UACGUAGGGGGCAAGCGUUGUCCGGAAUUAUUGGGCGUAAAGAGCGCGUAGGCGGUCCGAUAAGUCGGCUGUGAAAGUCAAGGGCUCAACCCUUGGAAGCCGGCCGAUACUGUCGGACUAGAGUCCGGAAGAGGCGAGUGGAAUUCCCGGUGUAGUGGUGAAAUGCGCAGAUAUCGGGAGGAACACCAAUUGCGAAGGCAGCUCGCUGGGACGGUACUGACGCUGAGGCGCGAAAGCGUGGGGAGCAAACAGG
rnacentral:rRNA from 1 species